ACACCGUUGGUGAAGUGGUUAUCAUGCUUGCCUUCCAUCAUAGUUCACUGGUUUUCUAGCUGGAGUUAUGCAGCAAGCGGCUCGGGUUCGAUUCCCGAACGGUGUA